rnacentral:rRNA from 1 species
GAUGAACGCUGGCGGCGUGCUUAACACAUGCAAGUCGAACGAUGAAGCCCAGCUUGCUGGGUGGAUUAGUGGCGAACGGGUGGGUAACACGUGAGUAACCUGCCCUUAACUCUGGGAUAAGCCUGGGAAACUGGGUCUAAUACCGGAUAGGAGCGCCUACCGCAUGGUGGGUGUUGGAAAGAUUUAUCGGUUUUGGAUGGACUCGCGGCCUAUCAGCUUGUUGGUGAGGUAAUGGCUCACCAAGGCGACGACGGGUAGCCGGCCUGAGAGGGUGACCGGCCACACUGGGACUGAGGCACGGCCCAGACUCCUACGGGAGGCAGCAGUGGGGAAUAUUGCACAAUGGGCGAAAGCCUGAUGCAGCGACGCCGCGUGAGGGAUGACGGCCUUCGGGUUGUAAACCUCUUUCAGUAGGGAAGAAGCGAAAGUGACGGUACCUGCAGAAGAAGCACCGGCUAACUACGUG